AUACGUAGGUGGCGAGCGUUGUCCGGAAUGAUUGGGCGUAAAGGGUACGUAGGCGGUUAAUUAAGUCGAGUGUGAAAGGUUGGGGCUCAACCCCAUAAAGCCUUGGAAACUGAUUGACUAGAGUACGGGAGAAGUGAAGGGAACUCCAUGUGUAGCGGUGAAAUGCGUAGAUAUAUGGAAGAACACCAGUGGCGAAGGCGCUUCACUAGCCCGAAACUGACGCUCAGUCACGAAAGCGUGGGUAGCAAAUAGGAUUAGAUACCCUAGUAGUCCACGCUGUAAACGAUGACAACUAAAUAUUGCCGCGAGGCAGUGUUGAAGCUAACGCAUUAAGUUGUCCGCCUGGGGAGUACGGUCGCAAGACUGAAACUCAAAGGAAUUGACGGGG
rnacentral:rRNA from 1 species